rnacentral:rRNA from 1 species
UUGUCUUGUAAUUGGAAUGAUGGUGACCUAAACCCUCACCAGAGUAACAAUUGGAGGGCAAGUCUGGUGCCAGCAGCCGCGGUAAUUCCAGCUCCAAUAGCGUAUAUUAAACUUGUUGCAGUUAAAAAGCUCGUAGUUGAAUUUCUGCGUCACCGUAUUUUGACUUUUGUCGACUGUCGGUUUCGCUUUUGGGAUUUAUCCCUUUUUACUUUGAGAAAAUUAGAGUGUUUCAAGCAGACUUUUGUCUUGAAUACUUCAGCAUGGAAUAAUAGAGUAGGACUUUGGUUCUAUUUUGUUGGUUUGUGAACCUUAGUAAUGGUUAAUAGGAACGGUUGGGGGCAUUCGUAUUUAACUGUCAGAGGUGAAAUUCUUAGAUUUGUUAAAGACGAACUACUGCGAAAGCAUUUGCCAAGGACGUUUUCAUUAAUCAAGAACGAAAGUUAGGGGAUCGAAGACGAUCAGAUACCGUCGUAGUCCUAA